CAGGUGCCUUGGACAUGAGGUUCGUGACCUCCACAAAUCUUUACUGAUAGUGGUAGUAUACAAAUACUCAAGAAUCAAGAUACAGGAGAAGCCAAAUUCACCAAUAAUCACCACAAGAACAGGCUCCAUUCUUGAAGUGGUGAAACCUAUGCAUAUCACGCACUAUGAUUUCCCGUCCAGUAACAAGUGUAAUGUACUUUGUUGCAUUAUGGCAAUCGCCAC
rnacentral:misc_RNA from 1 species